UCUCCUCGAGGGGAAAGGAUCGUCCGAAUGUCCUAUCGUCAAUGGCGACACCAACCACUCCUUCGCGAAUUAGUUCGGAGCAGUUCAAAUCGUUCACUUCAAUCCUUCCGCCUCUGCCGCUGAGAUUCACCGCCGCCAAAACUAAGAAUCAAUGGCGAGUGAGGUGCGCAUUGUCCUCAAACAAUUGGCGGGAGAGCAGGCGACUGUUCUCCAUCUCUCUUGUCUUCUCAAAUUUGUUCCUGAUUCCUCACCAUGCCUCUGCCGGAAGCUUUCUGGACAAAUACGUGAAGAAGAAAAAGCUGGAUCCGCUUGAAGUUUAUGUUCCAGCCGUCAUAUUGACGCAGUUACAAAUCAAAGACGUCGGGAAAAUUUUGGAAAGUAGUAAACCAGAAUACGCGACAUGCCGAUCUCUCUUGCGUUCUGGAAUUGCAUCAUCACUUCGAGUAAAUAUUCGAGCAGUUGCACAAUAUGCCUCGGAGGAUGGAAAUGGAAACAUUGCGUUUGACAAUGUUGAUCAAUGUCUCAGGGCCCUGGAAGAACUUGAUUCUUCCCUUUUACGUGCCACAAGAAAUGAUCGUGGAACCUCAAUUGAGUCGAUGAAGACCAAUAUUGACACUGCCGUCCUUGCUCUAGACCGGCUCCUUCAAACUGUUCCUCCUGAUGUCCUGGCUAAAGGGCAGGCUAUUGCUGAUGCUUAUAAUUCUCCUGAAGAGGAAGAAACCGAAAUUGCAGACCCAGAACUGAAGCAGUUGGAAUCUAUUUUAUGAUAUAGAUAUCCUGUAGAACUGAGGAUUCAUCCCAACUCAAGCAAUCUUCUUUAAUGUCCAGUUUGAUUAGGAUUCAGAAUUUAGAUUCGGCUACCAUGGAGUUUUUAUGAUUGAGCCACCGAAAAGAAUGGUACGCCUUAUUGGUCUGAGUAGUAACUUUCAAUUUUUCAAGUCUUUCUUAGAUAUCCUAUUCUCAAGAUCAUUAUCAUUCUGAUAUAGUCUCGGUUCAUUCAUGUCCUCUUUAUUUACUUGAGUGUCACAUGCCCACCAGCUUUCGCCUUGGUUCGUCCUACAUAGGUAGUAACUUUCGAUUCUUUUAAGCUUUUUUUUAGUCGUCCUAUCCUCAAUGGAUGUGAUCCCAGUUCAUUCAUGUACCACUUUUUAACUCGUUACUCGUACAAACCGGAAUAAAUAGGAAAUGUGAUAGAGAGGCAUUCAAUUGAACGUUUACAGUUACAUUCUUAGUUAUAAAAUCAACAUUGGGCCGACUACUAAUUUCUGUAGGCCCAUUAAUAACGUUGGGCUUGAACAAGCCUUAUAUGAAAAAACACUCUUUCCUUAUUCUUUCUUUAAAGCAUACGGGAAUUGCUA